GGCAGCUAGAGGGAGGUGUGUGUACCCAGGGAGCACCGCAGGCACCCCGGGCAGUGGAUUGGGCACCCCGGGGACGGCGCGGACGCCCCGGGGACGGCGUGGUGACGCCGACGGCGAGGCGAGGGAGCCCGGGCUGCAGUUCUUCAUGAACUGCUCCAGCGUGGAUCCUCCAUGCGGUCAGAAGUCCAACAAACCUGCUCCAGCCUGGGCUCCUCUCCAUGGGGCCAAAGGUCCUGCCGGGAGUCUGCUCCAGUGUGGGCUUCUAUGGGGUCACAACCUCCAUUGGGCUCCACCAUGGACUUCCAUGGGCCGCAGGAUUAUCAAGAUACAAAAAAGCCCACAUUUUCUUCACAUAAAGCACAGGAAAGCGUCCAACUGAGAAGCACGUCCUUCCUGCCCAAGAAAAGUCUCCGCUGUGUUUUUGGGAUGGGGCAAAGGAUCCAGGAGCAGAGGAGCUCGAGAGAGGUGGGGAGACGGUGAACAUCUCAAACACAUCUCAAACACAUCUGCAGAGCUUGAACACCUGCGGGACAACCAAAAAGUGCUGCCGCCAGAACUGGCCGAAGAGGAUGAAAUUCAGACCCUCCACACCCCCAGUAAUGAAGAAUUUGGAGUUAGGACCUUGGCUUGAAGCCACAUUAAUGUAUUAAAUUCAGAGAUGAAGCGAUGAACUGGUGCAGAGCACCAUGUUUCAGACAAGGGUUGAAAAGAGUAGUAGAAAGGAAGAGUUGUUUGGGAAAAGAACCAGACUGGAUGUAUUUUUCAUGAAUCUGUACUUUCUGGAAGGAGAUGUCUUGUUUGAAACCAAGAGAUACUUACAGUGCAUGGAUAAGAAUUAAAAUGUUAAUAUUCAUUACAAAUUAAUGCAAAUUUUUUUCUUCUCAGGGUAAUUUCACGCAGAUGUGAUUAGAGUGCAAUUAGGCAAGAUGGAUUAAAACCUGAGCCUCAGAGUAAUCACUCUAGAAAAAUUAUAUUGGAAGAGUUUAUGUGUUAGGAACAAGUUAUUGGUCAUGGUGAAGAGCUCAGUCUUGCGAAUUAUCCACUUUUUUGACUUGUUUUCAAUUGCUUUCAAUAAGAUGCAAGGAUGGGGGGUUGUUUUCAGAAGGUGAAUGCUCAUGCACAUACAUCAUGGAUGUGAAUUUAUCGUAUUUUACUAGACACAAAGAAUUAAACUCAAAUAUUACCUUUUGGAGCACGUAGUCUUUCUUGAGAUCUAUAACAUUUCAAGUUAUUUUCCUACAUUACCUAAAUUGAGGGUUAAAACCACAUCCCUCCAGCUCAGAGAGUCGCUCUACACCAGAUUUACACAUUGACAAUAUAGAUAAUCCCAUAUAAUCCAGUUUGCUUCAAUUCCCUUGGAGCCUGGUAUUCAGCUGAUGUUGAGAUUUAGAUCUACAAAGCUUGGGCUGGCUUGAAACUGCCCCUUCAAGCAUAAUUUUCUUAAAUUAUGAGAUAUAAUUAAUAGGGAAGAGAGUCCUGGAUUUCUUCUUCAUUCAUGGGAAGAACUG